UCCUUGGUGGUCCAGUGGCUAAGACUCUGAACUCCUGAUACAGAGGGCCCGGGUUCAAUCCCUGGUCAGGGAA